CCUACGGGAGGCAGCAGUGAGGAAUAUUGGUCAAUGGACGAGAGUCUGAACCAGCCAAGUAGCGUGAAGGAUGACUGCCCUAUGGGUUGUAAACUUCUUUUAUAAAGGAAUAAAACGAGGCACGUGUGCCUUUUUGCAUGUACUUUAUGAAUAAGGAUCGGCUAACUCCGUGCCAGCAGCCGCGGUAAUACGGAGGAUCCGAGCGUUAUCCGGAUUUAUUGGGUGUAAAGGGAGCGUAGAUGGGUUGUUAAGUCAGUUGUGAAAGUUUGCGGCUCAACCGUAAAAUUGCAAUUGAUACUGGCAGUCUAGAGUACAGUUGAGGUAGGCGGAAUUCGUGGUGUAGCGGUGAAAUGCUUAGAUAUCACGAAGAACCCCGAUUGCGAAGGCAGCUUACUAAACUGUGACUGACAUUGAUGCUCGAAAGUGUGGGUAUCAAACAGGAUUAGAUACCCUAGUAGUC
rnacentral:rRNA from 1 species